UCCUGAUCCCUAAGCCCUCGCUGGCC
rnacentral:piRNA from 1 species